AGAGUUUGAUCCUGGCUCAGGACGAACGCUGGCGGCGUGCCUAAUACAUGCAAGUCGAGCGAGCUUGCCUAGAUGAUUUUAGUGCUUGCACUAAAUGAAACUAGAUACAAGCGAGCGGCGGACGGGUGAGUAACACGUGGGUAACCUGCCCAAGAGACUGGGAUAACACCUGGAAACAGAUGCUAAUACCGGAUAACAACACUAGACGCAUGUCUAGAGUUUGAAAGAUGGUUCUGCUAUCACUCUUGGAUGGACCUGCGGUGCAUUAGCUAGUUGGUAAGGUAACGGCUUACCAAGGCAAUGAUGCAUAGCCGAGUUGAGAGACUGAUCGGCCACAUUGGGACUGAGACACGGCCCAAACUCCUACGGGAGGCAGCAGUAGGGAAUCUUCCACAAUGGACGAAAGUCUGAUGGAGCAACGCCGCGUGAGUGAAGAAGGGUUUCGGCUCGUAAAGCUCUGUUGGUAGUGAAGAAAGAUAGAGGUAGUAACUGGCCUUUAUUUGACGGUAAUUACUUAGAAAGUCACGGCUAACUACGUGCCAGCAGCCGCGGUAAUACGUAGGUGGCAAGCGUUGUCCGGAUUUAUUGGGCGUAAAGCGAGUGCAGGCGGUUCAAUAAGUCUGAUGUGAAAGCCUUCGGCUCAACCGGAGAAUUGCAUCAGAAACUGUUGAACUUGAGUGCAGAAGAGGAGAGUGGAACUCCAUGUGUAGCGGUGGAAUGCGUAGAUAUAUGGAAGAACACCAGUGGCGAAGGCGGCUCUCUGGUCUGCAACUGACGCUGAGGCUCGAAAGCAUGGGUAGCGAACAGGAUUAGAUACCCUGGUAGUCCAUGCCGUAAACGAUGAGUGCUAAGUGUUGGGGAGGGUUCCCCCUCUCAUGCUGCACCUAAAGCAUU
rnacentral:rRNA from 1 species